rnacentral:rRNA from 1 species
CGUAAAGCGCAUGCAGGUGGUUUGUUAAGUCAGAUGUGAAAAGCCCGGGGCUCAACCUCGGAAUUGCAUUUGAAACUGGCAAACUAGAGUACUGUAGAGGGGGUAGAAUUUCAGGUGUAGCGGUGAAAUGCGUAGAGAUCUGAAGGAAUACCGGUGGCGAAGGCGGCCCCCUGGACAGAUACUGACACUCAGAUGCGAAAGCGUGGGGAGCAAACAGGAUUAGAUACCCCUGGUAG